AAGUAUUUUUCAAGUCUGAGAGUUCCAUUUCCGGCCACCCCGUAGACAAUAUAUCUUACAGCCGCCACUGGCUAAAGCAACUCGAAGAAUUAAGGCCAGAUGGUCGAAAUCCAGUUUGCCACAUGCCAGUUUGCCGAGACCGCUUUUCCGAAUCCCAGUUUGCUGAGUACUAGUUUGCCGACUCAAUGAAUCCCAGUUGGCUGAAACCCAGUUUGCCGAACCCAGUAUAUAUAAAUCAUGAUAGCUGUUUCACUGUUGGAUACAGAAUCAAUCAUACACAACAUGCAACCUCCUCCACUCCCUGGGGAGUAUUCCUAGUUACGUGUGUAAUCACACCAGUGGCGUAUCUAGAAGUCUUGAAAUGGGGGCUGAUGGUAGGGGGGCGCGAAGGUGAAGUGGGACUCGAUGAUUAGUUGAGUGGCGCUAAUUUGCAAAAUAUGGUGAUUUUAGGUGAUUUUUAACUACGGUACUUGACCAUGAUUUUUGGGGUGACUGGGGGGGCCUGGGGGCGCAAGUAAUUUUUUUGGGGUGGGGGAGUGCGUCCACAAUUUGUGUAUAAAUACAGUAGGUAAAUGGUAAACUAAAAUAUGCAAGCCACAAUAUCACUUUGGUCUUGCUGAUUAAUAUAUUUGGUAGCUGCAUACACAUAUCAUGGAUUGCAUUGGUUAAUGUACGAUUAAAUUGAUUUGAUUGAUUGAUUAAAUGAUGAAAAAUAGUAA